rnacentral:rRNA from 1 species
UACGGAGGUGGCGAGCGUUGUCCGAAGUUACUGGGCGUAAAGCGUGCGCAGGCGGUUUUGCAAGUCAGAUGUGAAAGCCCCGGGCUUAACCUGGGAAUGGCAUUUGGGACUGCAAGGCUUGAGUGCGGCAGAGGAGACUGGAAUUCCUGGUGUAGCAGUGAAAUGCGUAGAUAUCAGGAAGAACACCCGUGGCGAAGGCGGCUCUCUGGAACGCAACUGACGCUGAGACGCGAAAGCGUGGGGAGCAAACAGG